rfam:Myotis lucifugus cont2.8947, whole genome shotgun sequence.
GGCAGUUCUUGGGUGACACACCCUGGAAUAGAGCUCCCUUCUCUCUGGUUCCAGGUACGUCACCCGAGAACCACA